ACAACUUUCAGCAACGGAUCUCUUGGCUCUCGCAUCGAUGAAGAACGCAGCGAAAUGCGAUAAGUAAUGUGAAUUGCAGAAUUCAGUGAAUCAUCGAAUCUUUGAACGCACCUUGCGCCCUUUGGCUAUUCUGAAGGGCAUGCCUGUUUGAGUAUCA
rnacentral:rRNA from 1 species